CGGGCGAGCGGCGGCGGCGGGCAGGGGCAGGGCAUGACUGACGCGCCCUCUGCCUGCGCUUAUGUGAGAGAAAGCGGCCGAGGGAGGGAGGGUGCCGAGCCCGGCUGCCCUCCCCUUCACUUUCCCUCGGAAGCUCACUCUUUCCCUCCACCUCCCCCGCAGCCCCACCUCCCGCCUUCUUUCCUUCCUCUUUCUCCUCCCUUCCUGAAAGUGGGCCGCCAGACUUGCAAGUUCAGUCUCGGGACGGGAGAUCAGGACCUGUUUUAGAGGCGACGCGACCGCGCUGGCAGAGUUGGAGCGGAGAAAAAGUAGGUACAGUGGCCAGGAAGGAGGGAGCCGACCCUUUGUCCCUGGCAGCCCUAGUGCUCCUGCCCUGUUAGAGAUGCGCCUGGCACUCAGCGUCCCGCGCGAAGUCUGCAAACUGCCUGCCCGAGAGCGCUACAGUUUUUGAGAGAAAGUCUUCACUCUGGCGGAGACCUUCACCGGACCUGGGAAUAAGCAAAACCCCACUUCCUUCCUCUGGGUAACUUGAAGUUGCUUGGUAAAGCAAGAACUACAGGACUUCUCAACUUUCAUCCUGGUGGGGUAGAUGCUAAUGAACUCUUUGGAAUCCUAAACUUCUGGCAGAUGGAAAGAAGGGCCUGAGUCCUAAUGGAUAGUACAGACAGGGCCAUCAAUUUCAGCAAGAAGUCGGGUUUACAAGAGAAAGCAGAUGAUAAAGGAGGAUACAUGCCAGCAUAUUCUGGGAAGGACUUGACAUCUACAGAAAAGUGGCAGCAUUUCCCAUUGGAAAAACACCCAGGAGCUGUCUCCUGGUGCUGGUGGCAUGGUCUCUCCAGUGGCACAAGGAAGUUAAUAAGAAAGAGGAUAAUCACAAACCUCUUAUGUCAAUUCAUUGAGCCAGACCUGAGGGUUAGAUGGUCAAAAGCAGGGAUGGAACUCAGGACCUUGUGCUUGCAAGGCAGGAAGCAGCACCACUGAGCUAAAUCCACGGCCCUGUCUGACUAUAAUUUUAUGAGAAUGCAACCAAGAUUGGAAGAAGUUGAGAAGGACAUAAUCAUGGAGGACACAAAGGCUAGGCUUUGAAGGACUAGUAGGAAAUUGGGAAAGCAGCAGGAUGGGAAGAGAGCAUUCUACAUAUUCUGGGGAAAGAUGUUGGAAUGAAGGCAGCAGAGGGACAAGGACAAAAAUACGACAGACCAUGCCAGAAAAUGUCUAUCACCUACUAGCAGCAUCUCAUUGAUGUUUUGACAUAGGGAAGAUGUGGAAUCUCUGGAACCAAUGAAGAGAACUACACUCUGAAAGUUCAAUGUACAGUACAUGGGUCUGUUUUUCCAGAAAAUAACAUGUAUUUUUAGGGCUUUUGUACUCCUGUAGUUUAGAAUAAAACAUGACUGUCUCCUAAGUGGAAUAAAGGGAAGUGUGUAUUCUGGAUCCUUAAGGGAAAGAUCAGCUGAAGCAAUCUGGACCCCAUCCUCAUGAGACCAGAUCUUAUGAGCAAGGGCUCUGAACCAUAUUUCUUCAAAGAUAAACUUCAAAAAAUUCUCAAUUCUUAUUUUAGUAAACAUUGAAAUUAUUUUAUCUUCUCACAAUGUAAAAUUAUUUCAAGUUUUGCUCAUUCUUUCAAAAUAUUUUGAUGAAUAGCAAUUCUAUAUUUAUGCAGGAUCUUAGUUACUUUCUUGUUGGUGGGACAAAAUACCUGACAUCCACAAUUUGAAGGAAGAAAGAUUUAUUUUGGCUUACAGUUCAAAAAGAUUUCAGCCCAUAGUCUGCUGACUCUCAGGCAGGAAGACAUGGCAGAGGUGCACAGCAAAAGAAAAGUACCUUUAUGGCAUGGCUGCAGGAUGCAGAGACAGAGAGAGAGAGGGGUGGGGAGAGAGAGAGAGAGAGAGAGAGAGGGAGAUCAAGGGAGGAGGAGGGAGAUAUAUCAUUCUAGGCAAUGCCCACAGUGACCCACCUCCUCAGACCAGGCUUUACCUCUCCAUUUCACAUUCAACUAUGUACCUGUUGCUGGGCUAAUAGGCUGAUUGGUAUCACACACCCACGAUCCAGUCACCUCCCCAAAGUCCUCCCUAUGAGUCCAUGAGCACAUGAGGCUUUGGGGGACAUCUAGAUAAAAACCAUUACGUGAAGAGAAGAAAAAUCAUAGAUUCUUACAGACAAUGUACGAUUAUAUCUGUCAGCACAAACUUCUUUUGUUUUAAUAGAUUUUAUUUUCACUGACUGAAAUACCAUAGAGGUCUUGACAAUUAUAAAAGUAUGCUGUAUCCAGUUUAGAAAGACUUAACUUUGCAGAAUUAUUUCUUCCAAAAAGGACAUAUCCUAUUAAGAAAUCUUUUCAAAUAAAAAGAUUAGAUCCUAAAUAUAAAUCCUCAAAUACCUAAAACUUAAACUAUUUUUUAUCUGAAAUUUCAAAGGUAUAGCUAUUUCAAUAUCUUAAAGUUUUAUAUUUAUAUUGGAAAUUCAUGCUAAUUUUCUAAAUAGAGUUCAUUGUUCUUCUUUAAGAGUUCCAAUUAUAGCCAGUGUAUUUGGUUUAAGGAAUAUGAGCAAACAUGUAUACAGAAUUAUUCAGGGAAUAUUUUUUUCUGAAAUAUUCUUGGCAAAACUGAUGUGGAAAAAGUAGGAGUAGACUCUCUUAAAGAAAUAUUUGUUUCCACUUGGUAUUUUAUUUGCAAUUUUUUAUUUAAAAUAAAGUCCCAGUCUUUGCCUCCCAGAGCAGCACUGAUCAGGCCCAAAGCUCAGCUUCUUCUCAAAGUCUCUUUUUUUCUACUUUUCCUGUAUAAUAAGUUAAUUUGCCUUGUGCUGCCAUGGCUCGCAGGAGACUAGGACUUACUGCACAGGUUUUAGUAACUUCCCCUUUCCCUGUUCCCUACAUUUGGUGCCCGAUGUGGAUGGGUGAACUCACCUGUGAGACAAACUCGGAGUAAAAGAGACAGCACAUGGAUCUCCCAGGAUGAUUUCUGGACUCAGAUGAGGGACACUGGGGAAAGAGUGCUCCUACAAUACCUGAAAGGAUAAGGACUCAGCCUAAUGGAAGAAAUGACACACCCACCAUCAAGGUAAUGGAAUGGGAAAAUAUUUUUUAAAAACCCAGUGAAAAUCAUCUGUGUUGCAAAGCCUACAGCCAUGAAUCCCCACAUAGAAGAAGCAAAAUGACUGAAUAUGGAAAAUGUUCAUACAAAUGCCAUCAGUGUAGUAAAGCCUUUUCAAGUUCUGCUGAGCUUAGAGGCCACACUCAAACUAACAUAACAGAGAAGCCAUAUGAAGGUUGCAUGUGCAGAAAAAAUUCCAGUCAAUCUCUUAAACAUUAUCAGCAAGAGGGAACACAGACACGAGAGAAACAGUGUGAAUACCAGCAGUGUGGGAAAACUUCCACUCAUUCAUCUAAAUUCAGAAGGCAUAAUUGAUCACACACCAGGAGAGAAACCAUAUGAUUGUCAUCUGUGUGGGAAAGCCUUAACUCCAUCAUGUACCCUUAAACAGCAUAAAAGAAUACACACAGGAGAGAAACCAUAUGAAUGUCAUCUGUGUAAGAAAGCCUUCACUCAGUCAUAUUUCCUUACCCAGCAUAAAAGAACACACACAGGAGAGAAACCAUAUGAAUGGCAUCUGUGUGGGAAAGCCUUCACUGAUUCAUCUAACCUUAAACAGCAUAAAAGAACACACACAGGAGAAAAACCAUAUGAAUGUCAUGUGUGUGGGAAAGCUUUCACUCAAUCCAGUCACCUUAGUAAACAUGAGAGAAUACACACAGGAGAGAAACCAUAUAAAUGUCAACUGUGUGAGAAAGCCUUCACUCAAUUAUCUAGCUUUGGGAAACAAGAGAAAACACACUCCACAGAGAAAUCAUAAACAUUCUGUGUUGGAAAACCUUCAGUAAAUUAUGUUGCUUAGUCUUCCUGAGAAAACUCACACAAAAGAGAAAAACUGUGAAUAUCCUGUGAGAGGGAAAGACUUCGAUCAAUGUUUUAGACUUAAUAUUCAUUAAAGAGCACAGUAGACAAACCAAUCAUCUGUCCUCUAAUUGGAAAAUUCUUCACUCAUUUGUCUAACCUUAGUGGGUGAGCAUCAGGGAAAGCUCACAGCACAAAAACCAUACUGAGAACAUAUGUGUAGGAAACAGUUAUCUACUCAUAAUGAUGAGACAGUACACAUAGCAAAGAAAAUACAUAAAUGUCAUCUACAUGGAAAAGUCUUAGGCCAAUCUUAGAUGGGAUAGAAAAAUCUCAACAUGGAUAUAAACUCAGUAUAGAGAUAAGAGUCUCUCUUGGAUGAAAAAAUUGUCUACCAACAUGCUGACCUUUGUUAUCGUGACAGACUGCUCACAAAGGAGAACAAUGAAUGCCUGCAGCACAGUCUCCCCUGUUGUGCAAAAAUAUAAAUAAAAUGAAUAAGAAAUCAACUUCAGUGUUACCUGCAAAAUGUGAAAUUGAACAAACACACAACCUCGUUAAUGAUGUGGAAAAUUCUUCAGCUGAUGCCCUCCUCAAUCAGUAUAACUAAGGAUCUAGGCAAAGUAUCUCUAUAUGUCAUGCCAUGAUGCAACAUCUCAAAUAUUUGUCUGACAAACAACGCUUCUGAUAUUUCAUUCUAGAAUCUAACAUUUAUAGAAUACUUCAAUCAUAUAUAUCAGUGUAAGGCACUAUAGAAAAUAUGACUGGAAAAUUUCUACCUGUAAUGAAUGUUGCAAAAGUUCAAUUUAUAAUUUAUUUUUAAACAAUAUUGGAAAACUUCACUUGCAAGAACUUCUAGAUCUUCAGUCAUCAUUAAGGACCAUUAUUCUAAGUACAAUGCUUAGUUGAAACAAGAAUAUGUGUGGAUAAUAAAACUUAAUUGCUGAUUGGUGGCUAAAUAUUUUGAGGACUAUCAAAACAUUAACCUGAGGAAAUGAUUUCUUGCAAAAUAAUGACCAUUUCUUUACUCAAACAGCAGCAUGUUUGGAAAAUGUAAGCACGCACACUGGACCAGAUUCUUGGUGUCAUGUAUAAAGCAAAGUUCCAAAUCAACAUUUGUUCACCAUCACAUGAAGGUUCUCACCAUUAGAAGUUAUCUACUUUAUAAGCUAUUUGAAGAAAUAUUAGAGAGCUUUUACUUAGGAACUCUUUCGAAAAUAUACAUCCACUCUGAAAGAGAUAUGAAACAAACUAACUACAAGGCAAAUACUUCAGAAUACUGACUAGAUAAUUAAUAUGAAAAAAUGUUGCAUAUUAAUAUAGGAUAGUGUGAUUAUCUAGAAAUAUCAAAUAUGGAUAUGUGGGAUAAAUUAAUUAACUUUCCAAAAACCAAAUUCAAUACAAUUUAUGUACAGAAAAAAAACCUGUGAUUUUAAUUAUUUAACUAAUAAAACAUUGGGAAGCAAAAAUAAAUAAAUAAAAUAAAGUCCCUUACCUUAAAAGCUGUUUUUUUUUAAAUGGCUGUAAUCAAUUAGGCCAAAGGAACAAAUUUUGGAGCUUGACAAAAAUUGCUGACCGCCUCACCCCUAUUACACCGUAGAAUACAGAAAGACUAGAUUUACCAAUAAAGAUUUGGGAAAAUU